rnacentral:rRNA from 1 species
GAUGAACGCUGGCGGCGUGCCUAAUACAUGCAAGUCGAGCGAACGGACGAGAAGCUUGCUUCUCUGAUGUUAGUGGCGGACGGGUGAGUAACACGUGGAUAACCUACCUAUAAGACUGGGAUAACUUCGGGAAACCGGAGCUAAUACCGGAUAAUAUUUUGAACCGCAUGGUUCAAAAGUGAAAGACGGUCUUGCUGUCACUUAUAGAUGGAUCCGCGCUGCAUUAGCUAGUUGGUAAGGUAACGGCUUACCAAGGCAACGAUGCAUAGCCGACCUGAGAGGGUGAUCGGCCACCCUGGAACUGAGACACGGUCCAGACUCCUACGGGAGGCAGCAGUAGGGAAUCUUCCGCGAUGGGCGAAAGCCUGACGGAGCAACGCCGCGUGAGUGAUGAAGGUCUUCGGAUCGUAAAACUCUGUUAUUAGGGAAGAACAUAUGUGUAAGUAACUGUGCACAUCUUGACGGUACCUAAUCAGAAAGCCACGGCUAACUACGUG